CCAAACCACCACUUUUAGCUCAGUCAGUAGAGCAUGAGACUUAAUCUCAGGAUUAUGGGUUUGACCCCCAUGGUUUGGA